rfam:Leptotrichia goodfellowii F0264 contig00211, whole genome shotgun sequence.
AUCGGAAUACCGGGGAGCUUAUCGCUGAGAGUAGUUGCUGCAGCAACUUAACCCGUCAAACCUGAUUCGGAUAAUGCCGACGAAGGGAGUGCCGUUUAAUAUUUU